CGGCUUAAUUUUUCAUCGCUAAUACCAUCGCUAAUACUUCAAAAUUUUAUAGUGUAGAUCUAUGAGAUAGAUCUAUUAGGAUGCCAGUUUCACAAAAGAUGUAUAUAGAAGAGGUACUGAAGGAGUUCGAUGUGAAAAAUCCUAAAAGAAUUUCUACCCCUUGGGUAUGGAAUUAAUCUCUCAGAGAAGAUGUGUGGGACACAUCCGUAGAGAUACAGUAUAUGAGCU
rnacentral:lncRNA from 1 species